rnacentral:rRNA from 1 species
UGCAAGUCGCACGAAGGUUUCGGCCUUAGUGGCGGACGGGUGAGUAACGCGUAGGAAUCUAUCCAUGGGUGGGGGAUAACUCUGGGAAACUGGAGCUAAUACCGCAUGACACCUUAGGGUCAAAGGCGCAAGUCGCCUGUGGAGGAGCCUGCGUUUGAUUAGCUUGUUGGUGGGGUAAUGGCCUACCAAGGCGAUGAUCAAUAGCUGGUCUGAGAGGAUGAUCAGCCACACUGGGACUGAGACACGGCCCAGACUCCUACGGGAGGCAGCAGUGGGGAAUAUUGGACAAUGGGGGCAACCCUGAUCCAGCAAUGCCGCGUGUGUGAAGAAGGUCUUCGGAUUGUAAAGCACUUUCGACGGGGACGAUGAUGACGGUACCCGUAGAAGAAGCCCCGGCUAACUUC